GACGAACGCUGGCGGCGUGCUUAACACAUGCACGUCGAACGGAAAGGCCCUGCUUUUGUGGGGUGUCCGAGUGGCGAACGGGUGUGUAACACGUGAGUAACCUGCCCUUGACUUUGGGAUAACUUCAGGAAACUGGGGCUCAUACCGGCUAGGAGCUCUUGCUGCAUGGUGGGGGUUGGAAAGUUUCGGCGGUUGGGGAUGGACUCGCGGCUUAACGGCUUGUUGGUGGGGUAGGGGCUUACCAAGGCUUUGACGGGUAGCCGGCCUGAGAGGGUGACCGGGCACAUUGGGGUUGAGGUACGGCCCAGACUCCUACGGGAGGCAGCGGUGGGGAAUAUUGCGCAAUAGGCGGAAGCCGGAUGCAACAACGCCGCGUGCGGAAGAACGUCUUUCGGGUUGUAAACCGCUUUCGCCUGUGAAAAAGCGUGAGUGACGGUAAUGGGUAAAGAAGGACCGGCUAACUACGUG
rnacentral:rRNA from 1 species